UGGGGAAUAUUGGACAAUGGGGGCAACCCUGAUCCAGCGACGCCGCGUGUGUGAAGAAGGCCUGCGGGUUGUAAAGCACUUUUAGUGGGGAUGAAAAGUCCAGGGCGAAUACCCUUGGAUCUUGACCUAACCCAAAGAAAAAGCACCGGCUAACUCUGUGCCAGCAGCCGCGGUAAUACAGAGGGUGCAAGCGUUAAUCGGAAUUACUGGGCGUAAAGCGUGCGUAGUCGGUUAUUUAAGUCGGAUGUGAAAUCCCCGGGCUCAACCUGGGAAUUGCAUUCGAUACUGGAUAGCUAGAGUUCGGCAGAGGGAAGUGGAAUUUCAGGUGUAGCGGUGAAAUGCGUAGAUAUCUGAAGGAACAUCAGUGGCGAAAGCGACUUCCUGGACCAGAACUGACGAUCAGGCACGAAAGCGUGGGGAGCAAACAG
rnacentral:rRNA from 1 species